rnacentral:lncRNA from 1 species
GCUUCACAUGUGAGAUAAAUGCACUCAAAGAUUCCUCACAAGUAGCUCUUUGGAGCUUCAGAUGUGAAAUGGAUCAUUCCUCAAUCUGUAAUAGACCCUUCUGUGAAGCUCUUCAAUCAAACCAGAGAAUUCAAGGGUUUCCAACACCUAAGAGUGGUAUUUGGCAAAUGGUGGGCCAAAGGAAUAAAGAAGGCAUGCAAAACUCUUGACAGAAGACAUUCAGAAAUUGAUUUGAUAUCAGAUACAAGGAGAAAAUAUGCCAGUAAGAAAAUGCAUUUUUCAAGAUUAAAUUCGGCAUUUGUUACUUAAUAGCAUUUGUCAUAUUCCAAUUUUUCAUAUGUAGUAAAUUCAUUUCAAAUCAU